rfam:Brachypodium distachyon strain Bd21 chromosome 1, whole genome shotgun sequence.
CCGAUACUUCCUCCGUCCAACGUCCAACAAAGUAUGUCUUAAUUUUGACUAAAUUUGAAUGCAUCUAUACACUAAAUCAUGUCUACAUACAUUCAAAUUUUGACAAACUUGAAACAUAUUUUGUUGGACGGAGGGAGUAGUUU